ensembl:lncRNA
GUAAGCAAGCAGGAAUCGCAGAGUCUGGGGUGGGGCUGCUCUGACAGGGCUUUGCAGAAGUUCUCCAAAUUGUGCAGAGGAGGAGCGCCAAUGCCAGAUGCCAGGGAGAAGCUUCCUGCAGGAGGUGACACCCCAGCUGACUCAGAGACCCUUGAGGACAAGUUGCUCAGCCUGGCUGGAGUGUAAAGUGUAAGGGGUACGUGAGCAGAGAUAAAGCCAGAGCAGGAGGCAGGAGCCAGACCAGGAAGGAUCUUAGGAGCUGUGACUUGGGACCUGCUUGGAAAGAUGCCUGAAAUUCUACGGGUAAAACUUGCUGAAGGUGAUGCAGUUAACCUGCGGAAGAACCCAUCUCCAGGCUCCUAGUCCAGUGCUCACUGGCUCCUUCACUAUUCAUUAAGCACCCCUGGGGCUGCUGCCUCUGGCUACACACCAGCCCGAGCUUUGGCCAGGCCGCCAAGUGCGAGGAGCCCAAGCCCUGAGCCAAGCCUGUGAAGAUGCCUUCAAACACAGGUUCUGCUGCUGCUGCUGACAAGGCAUCUGAGCUGGAACCAAAGACCAGCGGGAGGCCGGCAGCCCACGUCUCUCCCCAAGCCAUAUGGGCCCUUUCCUUCCGUGGUUAAUUUUCACUUUUCCUAAAGAUGGGUUCGUUUAGGGGGCGGGGAGCAGAGCAACGCCUGAUGGGGAGCACAUGCCACCCCCAGAGCGGGUGCUUUGAUCCUCGCCGAGGCCAGGCUGCAACAUCUUGGUCCCUGCGCCAACCGCUGUCCUGGCGAGGCUCCAGGCGUGGGUGGCCUCGCGUGCAGGGAGCCCCGCCGCCCCCGCCACACGAAAGGCGGGACUGGAGCUGUCUCCUCCCGGAGGGGCGACGCUGGAGCGCAGCCCGGCAGACGCACACUCGGCUUCCAGCUAGGAUCCUGGGAGCCACACAAAGGAAAUGGCAAGAUCGUGAGUCACCCCGAGGCCCGGCUGCUGCCUGGGCUGCAGGCCCACAACAGGACCUUUGUGCCGCGCUCCAGGAGGACGAGGGGGCCGUGCUGCAGAGAGGCAGACAUUUCAGGGCGCUGAGUAAUGCUCCGAGAGGGGAGGCAUCGCCGCCGGCAGCGGGACUGGCUCCUGGGCGCCCACCACAACGCCAAGGGACCCAGGCGCCGCUUAGAGGGAGCCCCCUGCCGCCAUCUUGUCACACCGCUUGUCCCUGGUGAGGGUACAUCCUAUUUUGUGGAGGUCUGUCUCCUUCACCGUGGUGUGAAGGGCUUGAAGCCUGGGGCAUGUCCAUUCAACUCUGUCUUCUUAACGCUGUAGCUAAGGCAGCACUGAGAAGUUGCUGAGAGUUUGUGCGAUGGGUGGAUGGGUGGAUGGGUGGAUGGAUGGAUGGAUGGAAUGACUCAUUCACGCAAGUACAGCUUGUGAGGACUAGCCCAAAGCUGUUAUUUCACACAGGAGGAAGUAGAGCCUCAGAAAUGGGAAUGGCUGGAGCCAGGUCCCACGGUGAGUAGGUGGCAGCUCCAGAAUUUGGGUGCUAUGCUUUGCCAGUCUGCUGUGCUCCCCUGGGUGGCUGCCCUGUGUGGCUCAGGGGACACCUGGAGGGCAUGACUGAUGUGUGGGCAGAGGUCAGGGUGGUGAGAACCCACAGCAUGGAUAAGACAACUACCGAGGGCAAGUCAAGUCCUAGGGACUUACUGGGAAGCGAAGGAGAGAAACCAGAGCAACAGGAGGCAGAGUUCCAGGCCUUAAGGUAAUCGCAUCUCUUGGCCUAGGCAGGUGACAGGGUUUACAGAAGAUGGGGGAAAAAAUCAGCAUGGUUGAGCACCAAGUGUAUGCCACACACAGAUAUUUAAUGCUUUACACAUCCUGAGGGAGGUAUCAUUACAGAUAAAGAAGGUGACUGGGAGACCAGUGCCCUCCAGGCUCCCACGGGCUGAAAGCUUGCUGUGUUUUUUCAUGUUAUCCUGACAGCAACAAGCAGGAGACUGUUCUUGUCUUCGUUUUACGGGUAAGGGUUGAAGGGCAGAGCGGUAAAAAAAAUCUUGCCCAAGCCAGGGUUGCUCGGCUACUAAGUUCAGGGGCUGGAUUUCAAACCAGUCUGUCUGCCUCUCUGCCCAAGCCCUCAGCCCUCGCGCUCCAUGGCAGAGCAGGAUUUCUGCAAUAGCUCACCUCCUGCCCCGGGGAGAGGCAGUCUGCAGCUCUGAGCAGGAGCAGGGACUAGCAGCCCUGUCGCAGGGUUACCAAAGUUCAGAGUCUUGCCCUCAGUGUUGUCAGUUUAGGGAUUAGGUUUGUAUGGGCUUCCCAGAGAGGAACAGGUUCAGGCGGUCUGACUGAUGAUGACUCAGCCCCACGGGUCAGAGCCAGACCUAAUGAAUUGUUCACCUGUGAAU